rnacentral:rRNA from 1 species
UACGUAGGGUGCAAGCGUUGUCCGGAAUUAUUGGGCGUAAAGAGCUCGUAGGCGGUCUGUCGCGUCGGAUGUGAAAACCCAGGGCUCAACCCUGGGCCUGCAUUCGAUACGGGCAGACUAGAGUUCGGUAGGGGAAGACUGGAAUUCCUGGUGUAGCGGUGAAAUGCGCAGAUAUCAGGAGGAACACCGGUGGCGAAGGCGGGUCUCUGGGCCGAAACUGACGCUGAGGAGCGAAAGCGUGGGGAGCAAACAGG